rnacentral:lncRNA from 1 species
UGAGGUCGAGAUAUUCCAUCAACAAAAAAAAGAAAAGCAAACAGAUGGGGCCUAACAAGUCCGGUAUGUGCAUCAAAAUUUCAUCAAAUACUGCUCAAGUUGACCGAGGUUACACAGUCCUGGUUAGGCGGAGGGCGCCAUGGGAAUGCAGAGGAGGUGUUUGAAGAAGGGUCAAAAAAGACCCCCACUGAAGAGCAAGCCCAUCGCCACCGGUGGGCACCUUCAGGCUGCCCACAUCACAGGGAGUCUUGAUGAUUAAAAACGAGUCAACAUAGCCAGGCAGGGAACCAACCUUUCGUAGGGUUUUUCUUUCCUUUUUCAUGCUGCUGCUGUGAUGAGCGUUGACUGACUGUUGCUCCUCCAUAUGGGGAAAUCUUCUCGUCAGGGUGGGGAUUGGGGAGCCCUCUCUGGGCAUCUUUCCUCACAGUGAAAGACCACGUACAAGAGAACUUUGGAGAGGAAGAUGCAUGC